rnacentral:rRNA from 1 species
UACGAAGGUCCCAAGCGUUAUCCGGAUUUAUUGGGUUUAAAGGGUGCGUAGGCGGUCUAUUAAGUCAGUGGUGAAAGCCCCAAGCUCAACUUGGGAACUGCCAUUGAUACUGAUGGACUUGAGUACAUUUGAGGUGGGCGGAAUGUGUCAUGUAGCGGUGAAAUGCUUAGAUAUGACACAGAACACCGAUUGCGAAGGCAGCUCACUAAACUGUAAACUGGACGCUGAGGCACGAAAGCGUGGGGAGCAAACAGG